GUCAGGAUAGCUCAGUUGGUAGAGCAGAGACUGAAUCC
rnacentral:tRNA from 1 species